UAGGGAAUCUUCCGCAAUGGACGCAAGUCUGACGGAGCAACGCCGCGUGAGUGAAGAAGGUUUUCGGAUCGUAAAACUCUGUUGUUAGAGAAGAACAAGUGCUAGAGUAACUGUUAGCGCCUUGACGGUAUCUAACCAGAAAGCCACGGCUAACUACGUGCCAGCAGCCGCGGUAAUACGUAGGUGGCAAGCGUUGUCCGGAUUUAUUGGGCGUAAAGCGAGCGCAGGCGGUUCCUUAAGUCUGAUGUGAAAGCCCCCGGCUCAACCGGGGAGGGUCAUUGGAAACUGGGGAACUUGAGUGCAGAAGAGGAGAGUGGAAUUCCAUGUGUAGCGGUGAAAUGCGUAGAUAUAUGGAGGAACACCAGUGGCGAAGGCGACUCUCUGGUCUGUAACUGACGCUGAGGCUCGAAAGCGUGGGUAGCAAACAGGAUUAGAUACCCUGGUAGUCCACGCCGUAAACGAUGAGUGCUAAGUGUUGGAGGGUUUCCGCCCUUCAGUGCUGCAGUUAACGCAUUAAGCACUUCGCCUGGGGAGUACGACCGCAAGGUUG
rnacentral:rRNA from 1 species